CAGAGACUGCAAGCGUUAUUCGGAUUCACUGGGCGUAAAGGGUGCGCAGGCGGUUGGGUGUGACAGAUGUGAAAUCCCGAGGCUCAACCUCGGAACUGCGUCUGAAACUACUCGACUAGAGUACUGGAGAGGGUAACGGAAUUCACGGUGUAGCAGUGAAAUGCGUAGAUAUCGUGAGGAACACCAGAGGCGAAGGCGGUUACCUGGACAGUUACUGACGCUCAGGCACGAAAGCAUGGGGAGCAAAAGGGAUUAGAUACCCCUGUAGUCCAUGCCCUAAACGGUGCACACUAGGUCUUAGCGGAUUCGACCCCACUAGGGCCCAAGCUAACGCGUUAAGUGUGCCGCCUGAGGACUACGGUCGCAAGACUA
rnacentral:rRNA from 1 species